rnacentral:rRNA from 1 species
AAGACCUUGCGCUUUUGGAGCGGCCGAUGUCUGAUUAGCUUGUUGGUAAGGUAAGAGCUUACCAAGGCUUCGAUCAGUAGCUGGUCUGAGAGGACGGCCAGCCACACUGGGACUGAGACACGGCCCAGACUCCUACGGGAGGCAGCAGUGGGGAAUUUUGGACAAUGGGGGCAACCCUGAUCCAGCCAUGCCGCGUGAGUGAAGAAGGCCUUCGGGUUGUAAAGCUCUUUCAGCCGGAACGAAACGGUUACGGUUAAUACCCGUGACUACUGACGGUACCGGAAGAAGAAGCACCGGCCAACUACGUGCCAGCAGCCGCGGUAAUACGUAGGGUGCAAGCGUUAAUCGGAAUUACUGGGCGUAAAGCGUGCGCAGGUGGUUUUGUAAGUCAGAUGUGAAAUCCCCGGGCUUAACCUGGGAACU